rnacentral:rRNA from 1 species
UGAUCCUGGCUCAGAUUGAACGCUGGCGGCAGGCCUAACACAUGCAAGUCGAACGGUAACAGGAAACAGCUUGCUGUUUCGCUGACGAGUGGCGGACGGGUGAGUAAUGUCUGGGAAACUGCCUGAUGGAGGGGGAUAACUACUGGAAACGGUAGCUAAUACCGCAUAACGUCGCAAGACCAAAGAGGGGGACCCUCGGGCCUCUUGCCAUCGGAUGUGCCCAGAUGGGAUUAGCUUGUUGGUGGGGUAACGGCUCACCAAGGCGACGAUCCCUAGCUGGUCUGAGAGGAUGACCAGCCACACUGGAACUGAGACACGGUCCAGACUCCUACGGGAGGCAGCAGUGGGGAAUAUUGCACAAUGGGCGCAAGCCUGAUGCAGCCAUGCCGCGUGUAUGAAGAAGGCCUUCGGGUUGUAAAGUACUUUCAGCGGGGAGGAAGGGAGUAAAGUUAAUACCUUUGCUCAUUGACGUUACCCGCAGAAGAAGCACCGGCUAACUCCGUGCCAGCAGCCGCGGUAAUACGGAGGGUGCAAGCGUUAAUCGGAAUUACUGGGCGUAAAGCGCACGCAGGCGGUUUGUUAAGUCAGAUGUGAAAUCCCCGGGCUCAACCUGGGAACUGCAUCUGAUACUGGCAAGCUUGAGUCUCGUAGAGGGGGGUAGAAUUCCAGGUGUAGCGGUGAAAUGCGUAGAGAUCUGGAGGAAUACCGGUGGCGAAGGCGGCCCCCUGGACGAAGACUGACGCUCANGUGCGAAAGCGUGGGGAGCAAACAG